GCAUGGGUGGUUCAGUGCUAGGAUUUUCACCUUCCACGUGGAAGACCCAGGUUUGAGUCCUGGCUAAUGCA
rnacentral:tRNA from 1 species